rnacentral:rRNA from 1 species
UACGGGGGGAGCAAGCGUUGUUCGGAUUUACUGGGCGUAAAGGGCGCGUAGGCGGUCAGCACAAGUCAGUUGUGAAAUCUCCGGGCUUAACUCGGAAAGGUCAACUGAUACUGUGCGACUAGAGUGCAGAAGGGGCAACUGGAAUUCUCGGUGUAGCGGUGAAAUGCGUAGAUAUCGAGAGGAACACCUGCGGCGAAGGCGGGUCUCUGGGCAACAACUGACGCUGAGGAGCGAAAGCGUGGGGAGCGAACAGG